rnacentral:tRNA from 1 species
GGGGCUGUAGCUCAGCCUGGCAGAGCACCUCGUUCGCAACGAGGGGGUCAGGGGUUCAAAUCCCCUCAGCUCCA